AACGAACGCUGGCGGCACGCCUAACACAUGCAAGUCGAACGGGAUCCUAGCUUGCUAGGUGAGAGUGGCGGACGGGUGAGUAACACGUGGGAAUCUGCCUUUUUGGUUCGGGAUAACCGCGGGAAACUGCGGCUAAUACCGAAUGCCCUCGAGAGAGGAAAGAUUUAUCGCCAGAAGAGGAGCCCGCGUCCGAUUAGGUAGUUGGUGGGGUAAAGCCUACAAGCCGACGAUCGGUAGCUGGUCUGAGAGGAUGAUCAGCCACACUGGGACUGAGAUACGGCCCAGACUCCUACGGGAGGCAGCAGUGGGGAAUAUUGGACAAUGGGGGCAACCCUGAUCCAGCAAUGCCGCGUGAGUGAUGAAGGCCUUAGGGUUGUAAAGCUCUUUUGCCAGGGAAGAUGAUGACUGUACCUGGAGAAUAAGCCCCGGCUAACUUCGUGCCAGCAGCCGCGGUAAU
rnacentral:rRNA from 1 species